rnacentral:misc_RNA from 1 species
CAGGGCUUAACAUCCCCUAUAAACCAUUGUGAACCUACCUAUAUUUCUUUGGCAGGCGGCCCCAGGGCGGGGCUAGUAGCCGCAAGGUGCCUGCCAGAGGACCCAAACUCGUUGUUACCGUCGUCUGAGUAUCAUACCAAUAGUCA